GCUGGGUGUGGUGGCACCUACCUGUAGUCCUAGCUACUCAGGAAGCUGAGGUGGGAGGAUCGCUUGAGCCCGGGAGUUUGAGGCUGCCGUGAGCUAUGAUUGCGCCACUGCACUCUAGCCUGGGCAGCAGAGCAAGACCCUAUCUCUU
ensembl:misc_RNA Metazoa_SRP Metazoan signal recognition particle RNA